AGUGAACGCUGGCGGUAGGCCUAACACAUGCAAGUCGAACGGCAGCACAGUAAGAGCUUGCUCUUACGGGUGGCGAGUGGCGGACGGGUGAGGAAUACAUCGGAAUCUACUUUUUCGUGGGGGAUAACGUAGGGAAACUUACGCUAAUACCGCAUACGACCUACGGGUGAAAGCAGGGGAUCUUCGGACCUUGCGCGAUUGAAUGAGCCGAUGUCGGAUUAGCUAGUUGGCGGGGUAAAGGCCCACCAAGGCGACGAUCCGUAGCUGGUCUGAGAGGAUGAUCAGCCACACUGGAACUGGGACACGGUCCAGACUCCUACGGGAGGCAGCAGUGGGGAAUAUUGGACAAUGGGCGCAAGCCUGAUCCAGCCAUACCGCGUGGGUGAAGAAGGCCUUCGGGUUGUAAAGCCCUUUUGUUGGGAAAGAAAAGCAGCAGGUUAAUACCCCGCUGUUCUGACGGUACCCAAAGAAUAAGCACCGGCUAACUUCGCG
rnacentral:rRNA from 1 species